rnacentral:lncRNA from 10 species
GUUGGAGCCUCAGUGAGCUCAUCUGACAGAUGGGGAUGAGGACCAGCAUGUAGUCAUCAUUCAACACUGUGGGGGAGAGAGGCAAGAAGGAGCCCCCCGGGGCGGGAUGAAUUCUGACCCAAGCCAAGAGCCACCGUGGGGCCAGCGCCCACCUGCACCAGGUUCUAUAUCCGCCAUCACAUUAGCUCCCCCGAGAGCCCUGAAGGGUGGGCCGCGCCUGCUCCUUUUCCGGGUCCACUGAGCGGCUCUGGAGCCCGGGUUUGUGUUUAGCCGAGGCUCUCCCCGCUGCACCCUCUGCCUUCUGCUCCCAGCAGGGCGCUGCAGCAUCGUCCGGUUUUAACAGGGUGAGGCGGCUCCCACAGACAUGUGAUGCAGAAAGUCCUCGACACCCCCAGCCAGCUCUCCGUGGGUCCAGUCCAGGGCCCUGCCCCACGGCGCCCACUGCUGCUUCCAGGCAAGCCUCAGAUUCCACUGGGAUUCGGAGAAGUUGCAGCUGAUUCAAUGCUGAGAGCCCAUCAGAGAAAACAUCUUCCUUCCCUUUCAAAGAGGACAGCUAUGCAUAAUCAGAAUACAAAGGGGUAUAAAUAAUUAAAGCGGCCCAGAGUGAGUGGUUCUUGAACCAUCUGCCUGAUUUACAAACUAAUUACUCAGAGGCUGGUCGCUGCACGGGAGCUGUGCACGCUCCUCAGGACGCUCACCGCCUCCUCUUCGGGCACCAGGGGUGGCGGCAUCGGCCUGAUCAGCCAGUCCUGGCACGUAGAGCAGUGCCACGGCCUCCUCCAUCUCCCUGAUUAAUAACUUCAUCAGAGCCCGGGACCAGAAGGAAAUGUAAGUCCUCUGAAGGAAACGGCCACACGGAGGAGCCAGCAGCAGUCUCUCCCAGCAGAUGAGCUGGGAGGUGGGGACCCAGUCUCAGGCAGAUUCUCAUCCUUGUGUUCCCUCUGAAGAGGGCACAUCAGGGGCUGCUGCUCCACUUCACAGAUGAGGAAAGAGAGGUCAAGAAGGUUCAAAGUCAUGCAGUGGAGAGUGUGGAGGUGACCUGGACUCCAGACUUCCUCCUUCGGGAGCUUUAUGUUCGGGUGCUGCUUGGGGACAGCUCUUCCUAUGCCCCCACCUUCUCUGGAAGGCAGCCAGGACUGAAGCACGGCCACCUCACAACGCAUCAUGCUGGGACAUGUAGGGUCUCAGAGUGAGGUAUGUGUGUGCAUGAGUGUGUUUAUGAGUGCGCAUGUGAGAAUUCCGAUAAAUGCACACACCCUCACAGCACAAGAUGUGGGGAAAGACAUAGGGUCCAAAACAGCCCACCAGGCUGUGCCUUGUGUUUGUGGGUUUAGCCCUGAGUGGGGAGGUGUUGAGAUUAGCUGCACUCUUGGAUGAGGGUGGAGAGGUGCUGCCACUGCCACUGCAUGGCACCCAGCUGUGAGAUGACCCCUCUGUUGGCACAGGCAGAGUUACAAAAUCAGCAUUGCAAAACUGAGGAAUGGGAACCAGGGACAUCCAUCUACACACAUCAAAAUGGUUAAAGGGGAAAAACAAACACACUGUCCAUUUGCAAACUGCCUGCAGUUAAGCCCUCAGUGAGUCAACCCUUCAAGGUGGCAUCAGCAGGGGAGAAAAUUUCAGCUCCAGGCUCUCUGGGUUUUUCUUAUCUCCACUGUACUUUCCUAAAGCCUGAUUUCUUUUAGGUAAUG